rnacentral:misc_RNA from 1 species
CUCCAUCUUAUAAUUUGAUGAUUGAAAAGAAGAAUGGAGGAUUUAAAAGAAAAGAAAUUUGGUUCACAAAAUAGAGCCAUUUCAGAUCAUGCUCUAGGUUCUGGCCAGGUAUUUAUUAUUUCCUGGAUUCUUCAUAUGUAUUGAUUGUAUGAUUGACUAUACAAUGGGAUUUUUCGAUUUGUCGUUUUAAUGUGAAUAAAGAUUUUGAGUGGAAGAAUCAUAUUGGUGUUAGCGACAAGAAAGUUUUUGAAGGCAACUUUUUCCUGAGAUGAUGUACGAAGGUUAUAUAUGACUUGUGACCAUUUUCUGAUCCCGGACAGCUGCCACUUCAAGUGGGG